rnacentral:rRNA from 1 species
AUUGAACGCUGGCGGCAGGCCUAACACAUGCGAGUCGAGCGGAUGAAGCGGGUUUGUUGCUGGUUUCGGCGGCGGACGGGCGAGUAAGGUCUAGGAAUGUGCCAGGUAGUGGGGGAUAAUGUUAGGAAGUGGGCGCGAAUACCGCAACCGCGCAGAGGCCCAAAGGGGGAGAUCUUCGGACCUCAGGCCAUCAGCCGAGGCUAUGUCGGAUUAGCUAGUUGGUGGGGUAAAGGCCUACCAGGGCGACGAUCCGUAACCGGUCUGAGAGGAUGAUCAGUCACACUGGAACUGAGACACGGUCCAGACUCCUACGGGAGGCAGCAGUGGGGAAUAUUGGACAAUGGGCGCAAGCCUGAUCCAGCCAUGCCGCGUGUGUGAAGAAGGCCUUCGGGUUGUAAAGCACUUUAAGUUGGGAGGAAGGGCAGUAAGUUAAUACCUUGCUGUUUUGACGUUACCAACAGAAUAAGCACCGGCUAACUUCGUG